ACUCCUACGGGAGGCAGCAGUGGGGAAUAUUGCACAAUGGGGGAAACCCUGAUGCAGCCAUGCCGCGUGUGUGAAGAAGGCCUUGGGUUGUAAAGCACUUUCAGUAGGGAGGAAGGUAGUGUAGUUAACACCUGCACUAUUUGACGUUACCUACAGAAGAAGCACCGGCUAACUCCGUGCCAGCAGCCGCGGUAAUACGGAGGGUGCGAGCGUUAAUCGGAAUUACUGGGCGUAAAGCGCAUGCAGGCGGCCUGUUAAGUCAGAUGUGAAAGCCCGGGGUCUUAACCUCGGAAUUGCAUUUGAAACUGGCAGGCUAGAGUCUUGUAGAGGGGGUUAGAAUUUCAGGUGUAGCGGUGAAAUGCGUAGAGAUCUGAAGGAAUACCAGUGGCGAAGGCGGCCCCUGGACAAAGACUGACGCUCAGAUGCGAAAGCGUGGGAGCAAACAGGAUUAGAUACCCCGUGGUAGCGACUGA
rnacentral:rRNA from 1 species